rnacentral:lncRNA from 1 species
CUGAACUCACCAAGUUUAAACUCCUGACAGCACAAUGUGUUUCAACUACAAAGGGAAACUGCAAUUCUUGUGAAAGAGGUGGGAUUUCAUAAAGUCCAUGGAAGUGAGGUUGGAGAACAGCUCAAAGCAUUACUACCCAAAGUCAUUUACAAAUGAGAUUCCAGGAGAGUUAACCUACUUGAGAACUAAAGAAGAAAAACUUAAUAUGGAUGAAAAGUAGAUGGAUUCUCCAAAAUGAAAAUUAUGAAUCUCCAAAGAAUAAGAGAUGCCACUGGAAAAAUUAAUGACUCAUUAAUUUUUUUUGGUAAAAUGACCUUCUUUAUAAUCAAGCUAUGAAAAUCAAACAUGAAAUAAAGGGCAUUAGAUAACUUUAUUAGAAAUUUAGUACAAUUUACCUGUUUCUCAAAUGUUUGUUUUUGUUCAUCCUGAGAAUUAAUGCAUUAUUUCUUAGUUUUCACCCAAAAUGAAGUUUUAGAAACUAUCUCUUCCCAUUUUGGUCUCUCUCUGUAUUCACUUUAAGUGAAUUGGCACCAUUCCCAUUUUGGUGCCAAUUAUCCUUAGUUGAGGCAAACUUCCUGUCUUGCAAACAGGAUUGUAGUGGAUAUUUUAAAAAUAGUAUUUCAGAGAAUAAGUGGUUUUCAGGGCCUUAAAAAUGUUCUUCAUAUUAUCCAUGGAUGUUGCUAAUUAAAAACAAUUACUGGGCUGGGCACAGUGGCUCACGCCUGUAAUCCCAGCACUUUGGGAAGCCAAGGCUGGUAGAUCACCUGAGGCCAGGAGUUUGAGACCAGCCUGGCCAACAUGGCAAAACCCUGUCUCUACUCAAAAUACAAAAAUUAGCCAGGCAGGGUGGUGCACACCUGUAAUCUCAGGUGCUCAAGAGGCUGAGACAGGAGAAUUGCUUGAACCCUGGAGGUGGAGGUUGCAAUGAGCUGAGAUCACACCACUGCACUCCAGCCUGGGUGACAUAGCAAGACUCCAUCUCAAAAAAUAGUAAUAAUGAUUACCAAAUGCAAAUAUAAGUCCACUGAGCUAGUGCUGCAUGGAGAUCAUAAGAGUGAGCCUGGAGCCAGGCUUCUGGGGUUCAAAGCCCAGUUUUAUCCCCUGCUAUGUCAGUGAACUUGGACACUGUUCUUAGCUUCUCUGAGCUGCAGUUUUCUGAAAUUUAUGUAAUAGUAACAGCAGUCACCUUACAGGAGCAUAGUGAAGCUUUAAGGAGUCAAUGCCUAGGUUAGUCUCCUAGGGUUGUCGUAACAAAGUGCUGUUAACAGCAUGGCGUAAACAACAGAAUUGUGUUCUCCUGCAGUUCUGGAGGCUAGAAGUCUGAGGUCUAGGUGUUAGCAGGGUUGGCUUCUGAGGGUUGUGAAGGAAGGAUCUGUUCCAUUCCUCUCUCCUAGCUUCCGGUAGCCUUGGGUUGCAGAUGGCAUUCUUUCUGUCUCUUCACAUCAUCUUCCCUCUGUGCACAUCUGUCUCUGUGUGCAAAUCCCCCCGUUUUAAAAGGACACCAGUCAUUUUGGAUUAGAGUCCACCUUAAUGGCCUCAUCUCAACUAGAUUACUUCUGAAGACUUCAUAUCCAAAUAAGGUCACAUUCUGAGAUAUUUGGGGUUAGUCCAUUGCAUCUUUUUUUGUGGGGAUACAAUUCAACCCAUGACAAUGCCUAGGAGUGCCAAAAAUAUGGCACAUGGUGCAUUAACUAAAUAUGGAUAAUAAGUAUUAGGUCAAACCCUAUAGAAUAUAGAUAUUUGACUAUUUUACCUACAAAAUGGUAAUAUAACAUGAUUUAGCAUAUUUUUUCUUUGCUUUUUUUUCAACAAUCUCUGUCUGGGUGCUCAUCGUUCCUGACACAACUCGACAUUUUCUGGGCAGCCCCCGUGAGACAGGUUGUGGUGCAGGCAGGAGAAGGGUGGCUGUGCUGAUUCACUCUGCCUCUCCAGUUCUGACCAAUCUUCUAUUUCAACUCUGGGAUUCUUUCUUUAAUCUUCAUCUUCUGAAUGAUGUAGCUUUACUGUGAAACUGUCCAAGUGUAAUUAUCAGGCCUGUCAUUGGUAAGGAACCCUUCCCAAGGCUCUGGGAGAGGCCCCAGACAUGUAUUGACAUGUUAAUAUUUGAUUUUUAAAACUUUCACAAAGAAGACAUUUUAAACUUCAGUCAAUUAAGGCCACGAUGUCUUUGCACUCCAACUUCUCUUCCUUCUCCUCCUCUUGGGCUGUAUUGGAGCCGCCGUGGACAAUUUUGAGAUGACCCAAGGAGAAGAUGAGAUGGGCGUAUGUUUGCUGCAAGUGGAGUGGAAUACACUUCUGUGAUUUGCAGUCCCUUCCAUGUAUAAUGGAGUAUUGCUGGCUGUGCAAGUGGAGAAACAACUGGGAAUGCCAACUUGAGGAGCGUCUGGUGGACACCAUCUUGAAUCCAGCACUCUCUCCAUCCCCAGCCAGAAGUGUGUGUUGGUGGUGGGGGAGAGACAAGUUAGAAACAAGGGUGGACUACACGUUCCACCUCAUGCCUGUACCACAAGAGACAACAAAAUUACACAGUUCUGAAUAAGAUGAACUGUUAAGUUCCAUUGCAUCAGGGAUGUUCAAAGAAAUGGAAACAACUCCA